GAUGAAGAACGUAGCGAAAUGCGAUACUUGGUGUGAAUUGCAGAAUCCCGUGAACCAUCGAGUCUUUGAACGCAAGUUGCGCCCGAAGCCACUAGGCCGAGGGCACGCCUGCCUGGGCGUCACACGUCGUUGCCCCCCCCCAUCUACUCCUUCGGGAUUGCGGGGGGCGGAUGAUGGCCUCCCGUGCGCCUAGCCGCGCGGUUGGCAUAAAUACCAAGUCCUCGGCGACGCACGCCACGACAAUCGGUGGUUGCGAAACCUCGGUUGCCCGUCGUGUGCGUUCGUCGCGCAUCGAGGGCUCGAAAAAAUGCUCGGCUCCGGCUCGGCUUUCAAUGCGACCCCAGGUCAGGCGGGGUUACCCGCUGAAUUUAAGCAUAUCAAUAAGCGGAGGA
rnacentral:misc_RNA from 1 species